AGCACAAUAGCUCAAUGGUAUAGAGCACCACAGCGCCUUGGGAGGUCGCGGGUUCGAAUCCCACUUGUGCGC